rnacentral:rRNA from 1 species
UACGGGGGGAGCAAGCGUUGUUCGGAUUUACUGGGCGUAAAGGGCGCGUAGGCGGCGUGACAAGUCACUUGUGAAAUCUCCGGGCUUAACUCGGAGCGGUCAAGUGAUACUGUCGUGCUAGAGUGCGGAAGGGGCUACUGGAAUUCUCGGUGUAGCGGUGAAAUGCGUAGAUAUCUGGAGGAACACCGGUGGCGAAGGCGGCAUCCUGGACCAACACUGACACUGAGGAGCGAAAGCCAGGGGAGCAAACGGG